rnacentral:rRNA from 1 species
UACAGAGGUCUCAAGCGUUGUUCGGAUUCAUUGGGCGUAAAGGGUGCGUAGGUGGCGCGGUAAGUCGGGUGUGAAAUUUCGGAGCUUAACUCCGAAACUGCAUUCGAUACUGCCGUGCUUGAGGACUGGAGAGGAGACUGGAAUUUACGGUGUAGCAGUGAAAUGCGUAGAGAUCGUAAGGAAGACCAGUGGCGAAGGCGGGUCUCUGGGCCACUACUGACGCUGAGAAGCGAAAGCAUGGGGAGCGAACAGG